rnacentral:rRNA from 1 species
UCGCUCCUACCGAUUGAGUGAUCCGGUGAAUAACUCGGACUGAUGCAGUGAUCAGCUUCUGAACGUUGCAUUGGAAAGUUUAGUGAACCUUAUCACUUAGAGGAAGGAG